GGGGAAUAUUGCACAAUGGGCGAAAGCCUGAUGCAGCAACGCCGCGUGAGUGAUGAAGGUCUUCGGAUUGUAAAGCUCUGUCUUUUGGGACGAUAAUGACGGUACCAAAGGAGGAAGCCACGGCUAACUACGUGCCAGCAGCCGCGGUAAUACGUAGGUGGCGAGCGUUGUCCGGAUUUACUGGGCGUAAAGGGUGCGUAGACGGAUGUUUAAGUGAGAUGUGAAAUACCCGGGCUUAACUUGGGUGCUGCAUUUCAAACUGGAUAUCUAGAGUGCAGGAGAGGAGAAUGGAAUUCCUAGUGUAGCGGUGAAAUGCGUAGAGAUUAGGAAGAACACCAGUGGCGAAGGCGAUUCUCUGGACUGUAACUGACGCUGAGGCACGAAAGCGUGGGUAGCAAACAGGAUUAGAUACCCUGGUAGUCCACGCCGUAAACGAUGAGUACUAGGUGUAGGAGGUAUCGACCCCUUCUGUGCCGCAGUAAACACAUUAAGUACUCCGCCUGGGAAGUACGAUCGCAAGAUUAAAACUCUAAAGUGAAUUGAC
rnacentral:rRNA from 1 species